CAAUAGCGUAUAUUAAAGUUGUUGCAGUUAAAAAGUUCGUAGUUGGAUUUCGGGGCAGCCUGGCUGGUCCGCCGCAAGGCGAGUACUGGUCAGCCGCCCUUCCUCUCGAAAGCCCCGACUGCUCUUCGUUGCAGUGGUCGGGUAGUUCGGGACGUUUACUUUGAAAAAAUUAGAGUGUUCAAGGCAGGCCUACGCCUGAAUACAUUAGCAUGGAAUAAUGGAAGAGGACCUCGGUCCUAUUUUGUUGGUUUCCAGGGCCGAAGUAAUGAUUAAGAGGGACAGUUGGGGGCAUUCGUAUUUAAUUGUCAGAGGUGAAAUUCUCGGAUUUAUGAAAGACGAACAACUGCGAAAGCAUUUGCCAAGGAUGUUUUCAUUAA
rnacentral:rRNA from 1 species